rnacentral:rRNA from 1 species
AUUGAACGCUGGCGGCAUGCCUUACACAUGCAAGUCGAACGGUAACGCGGGGGCAACCCUGGCGACGAGUGGCGAACGGGUGAGUAAUACAUCGGAACAUAUCCAGUAGCGGGGGGAUAACCUAUCGAAAGAUUGGCUAAUACCGCAUACGAUCUACGGAUGAAAGCGGGGGACCGCAAGGCCUCGCACUAUUGGAGUGGCCGAUGUCAGAUUAGCUAGUUGGUGGGGUAAAAGCCUACCAAGGCGACGAUCUGUAGCCGGUCUGAGAGGACGAUCAGCCACACUGGAACUGAGACACGGUCCAGACUCCUACGGGAGGCAGCAGUGGGGAAUUUUGGACAAUGGGCGCAAGCCUGAUCCAGCCAUGCCGCGUGAGUGAAGAAGGCCUCGG